GGAUUUUAUUUUUAAAAAAAUGGUGAAACUCUCAUAUUUUUUGGAUCAAUAUUAAAUUUAAUAUGAAUUAAUGAAAAUCAAAGGAAUAAAAACUAAAAUAAAAAAAUAAAAAAAACGUGGACCACUUGAUCUCCCUCAUUAAUUGAGAUGGCAGAUCAAGUGGUCUGAAACGUGUAAUCGACGAUGGUCUUGAGUCAAC
rnacentral:lncRNA from 1 species